rnacentral:rRNA from 8 species
ACCUGCGGAAGGAUCAUUAACGAAUAACU